UGAGGAAUAUUGGUCAAUGGGCGGGAGCCUGAACCAGCCAAGUCGCGUGAGGGAAGACGGUCCUAUGGAUUGUAAACCUCUUUUGUCGGGGAGCAAAGAGGCCACGUGUGGUCAAAAGCGAGAGUACCCGAAGAAAAGCAUCGGCUAACUCCGUGCCAGCG
rnacentral:rRNA from 1 species